AGUAAAAGUCGUAACAAGGUUUCCGUAGGUGAACCUGCGGAAGGAUCAUUAACGAGUUCUGACAUGGGUUGUAGCUGGCCUCACGAGGCAUGUGCACGCCCUGCUCAUCCACUCUACACCUGUGCACUUACUGUAGGUUUGGUGUGGGCUUCGAGGGCCUUCACGGGCCUUUGAGGCAUUCUGCCUGCCUAUGUAUCACUACAAACACUAUAAAGUAACAGAAUGUAAUCGCGUCUAACGCAUCUUAAUACAACUUUCAGCAACGGAUCUCUUGGCUCUCGCAUCGAUGAAGAACGCAGCGAAAUGCGAUAAGUAAUGUGAAUUGCAGAAUUCAGUGAAUCAUCGAAUCUUUGAACGCACCUUACGCUCCUUGGUAUUCCGAGGAGCAUGCCUGUUUGAGUGUCAUGGUAUUCUCAACCCACACAUCCUUGUGAUGCUUGUGAGGCUUGGACUUGGAGGCUUGCUGGCCCGUCGCGGUCGGCUCCUCUUGAAUGCAUUAGCUUGGUUCCUUGCGGAUCGGCUCUCAGUGUGAUAAUUGUCUACGCUGUGACCGUGAAGCGUUUGGCGAGCUUCUAACCGUCCUGCUAGGGACAACUUACUUGACAUCUGACCUCAAAUCAGGUAGGACUACCCGCUGAACUUAAGCAUAUCAAUAAGCGGAGGAAAAGAAACUAACAAGGAUUCCCCUAGUAACUGCGAGUGAAGCGGGAAAAGCUCAAAUUUAAAAUCUGGCGG
rnacentral:rRNA from 1 species